rnacentral:rRNA from 1 species
UUUUAUGGAGAGUUUGAUCCUGGCUCAGGAUGAACGCUGGCGGCGUGCCUAAUACAUGCAAGUCGAGCGAACGGACGAGAAGCUUGCUUCUCUGAUGUUAGCGGCGGACGGGUGAGUAACACGUGGAUAACCUACCUAUAAGACUGGGAUAACUUCGGGAAACCGGAGCUAAUACCGGAUAAUAUUUUGAACCGCAUGGUUCAAAAGUGAAAGACGGUCUUGCUGUCACUUAUAGAUGGAUCCGCGCUGCAUUAGCUAGUUGGUAAGGUAACGGCUUACCAAGGCAACGAUGCAUAGCCGACCUGAGAGGGUGAUCGGCCACACUGGAACUGAGACACGGUCCAGACUCCUACGGGAGGCAGCAGUAGGGAAUCUUCCGCAAUGGGCGAAAGCCUGACGGAGCAACGCCGCGUGAGUGAUGAAGGUCUUCGGAUCGUAAAACUCUGUUAUUAGGGAAGAACAUAUGUGUAAGUAACUGUGCACAUCUUGACGGUACCUAAUCAGAAAGCCACGGCUAACUACGUGCCAGCAGCCGCGGUAAUACGUAGGUGGCAAGCGUUAUCCGGAAUUAUUGGGCGUAAAGCGCGCGUAGGCGGUUUUUUAAGUCUGAUGUGAAAGCCCACGGCUCAACCGUGGAGGGUCAUUGGAAACUGGAAAACUUGAGUGCAGAAGAGGAAAGUGGAAUUCCAUGUGUAGCGGUGAAAUGCGCAGAGAUAUGGAGGAACACCAGUGGCGAAGGCGACUUUCUGGUCUGUAACUGACGCUGAUGUGCGAAAGCGUGGGGAUCAAACAGGAUUAGAUACCCUGGUAGUCCACGCCGUAAACGAUGAGUGCUAAGUGUUAGGGGGUUUCCGCCCCUUAGUGCUGCAGCUAACGCAUUAAGCACUCCGCCUGGGGAGUACGACCGCAAGGUUGAAACUCAAAGGAAUUGACGGGGACCCGCACAAGCGGUGGAGCAUGUGGUUUAAUUCGAAGCAACGCGAAGAACCUUACCAAAUCUUGACAUCCUUUGACAACUCUAGAGAUAGAGCCUUCCCCUUCGGGGGCAAAGUGACAGGUGGUGCAUGGUUGUCGUCAGCUCGUGUCGUGAGAUGUUGGGUUAAGUCCCGCAACGAGCGCAACCCUUAAGCUUAGUUGCCAUCAUUAAGUUGGGCACUCUAAGUUGACUGCCGGUGACAAACCGGAGGAAGGUGGGGAUGACGUCAAAUCAUCAUGCCCCUUAUGAUUUGGGCUACACACGUGCUACAAUGGACAAUACAAAGGGCAGCGAAACCGCGAGGUCAAGCAAAUCCCAUAAAGUUGUUCUCAGUUCGGAUUGUAGUCUGCAACUCGACUACAUGAAGCUGGAAUCGCUAGUAAUCGUAGAUCAGCAUGCUACGGUGAAUACGUUCCCGGGUCUUGUACACACCGCCCGUCACACCACGAGAGUUUGUAACACCCGAAGCCGGUGGAGUAACCUUUUAGGAGCUAGCCGUCGAAGGUGGGACAAAUGAUUGGGGUGAAGUCGUAACAAGGUAGCCGUAUCGGAAGGUGCGGCUGGAUCACCUCCUUUCUAA